UGGCUUCACCUAGGCGACGAUCCCUAGCUGGUCUGAGAAGGAUGACCAGCCACACUGGAAACUGAAGACACGGUCCCAGGACUCCUACGGGAAGGGCAGCAGUGGGGGAAAUAUUUGCACAAAUGGGGCGGCAAAGCCUGAAUGCAGCCCAUGCCGCGUGUGUGAAAGAAAGGCCUUUCGGGUUGUAAAAGCAACUUUUCAGCGAGGAAGGAAAGGGUUUCGGUGGUUAAUAGCACCGUUUCAUUGGACGUUACUUCGCAGGAAGAAAGCAACCGGGCUAACUUCCGUGCCAGGCAGCCGCCGGUAAAUACGGGAGGGGUGAAGCCGUUAAUCGGGAUUUACUGGGGGGUAAAAGCGGCACGCAGGCCGGUUUUGUUAAGUCAGAUGUGAAAUCCCCCGAGCCUAAACUUGGGAAACUGCAAUUGAAAACUUGCAAAGCUAGGAUCCUGGUAGAGGGGGGGUAGAAUUCCAGGUGUUAGCCGGUGAAAAUGCGUAGAGAUCCUGAGGAAUACCGGUGGCGAAGGCGGCCCCCCGGACAAAGACUGACGCUCAGGUUCGAAAGCGUGGGGAGCAAACAGG
rnacentral:rRNA from 1 species